GGGCGUGUUCCAGAGCGGCCAAAUGGGGCAGACUGUAAAUCUGCUGGCUUAUGCCUUCGGUGGUUCGAAUCCAUCCGCGCCCA
rnacentral:tRNA from 1 species